AAUGGCCAAAAAACGGGUCGUGGGCUAUAGCUUUGGUGGGGGGCGCGGGCGAAGUUCGUCCGCCGGACUCGGAAUCGGGCGAGACUUUGUGAGGGGCCUCGGGGUGCCAAAAAUAAGCCGUGGGCAAAGCCGCGCCCAAAAAUAAGCGCCCGAAGGUCGCGGUGCCAAAACCCCCCAGUGGAAAAAUGGCCAAAAAACGGGUUGUGGGCUAUAGCCUUGGUGGGGGGCGCGGGCGAAGUUCGUCCGCCGGACUCGGAAUGGGGCGAGACUUUGCGAGGGGCCUCGGGGUGACAAAAAUAAGCCGCGAGCAAAGCCGCGCCCAAAAAUAAGCGCCCGAAGGCCGUGGUGCCAAAACCCCCCAGCGGAAAAAAGGCCAAAAAACGGGUCGUGGGCUAUAGCCUUUGUGGGGGGCGCGGGCGAAGUUCGUCCGCCGGACUCGGAAUGGGGCGAGACUUUGUGAGGGGCCUCGGGGUGCCAAAAAUAAGCCGCGGGCAAAGCCGCGCCCAAAAAUAAGCGCCCGAAGGUCGCGGUGCCAAAACCCCCCAGUGGAAAAAUGGCCAAAAAACGGGUUGUGGGCUAUAGCCUUGGUGGGGGGCGCGGGCGAAGUUCGUCCGCCGGACUCGGAAUGGGGCGAGACUUUGCGAGGGGCCUCGGGGUGCCAAAAAUAAGCCGCGGCCAAAGCCGAGCCCAAAAAUAAG
rnacentral:lncRNA from 1 species